CAGCAGCCACGGUAAAACGUAGGUCCCGAGCGUUGUCCGGAUUUAUUGGGCGUAAAGCGAGCGCAGGCGGUUAGAUAAGUCUGAAGUUAAAGGCUGUGGCUUAACCAUAGUACGCUUUGGAAACUGUUUAACUUGAGUGCAAGAGGGGAGAGUGGAAUUCCAUGUGUAGCGGUGAAAUGCGUAGAUAUAUGGAGGAACACCGGUGGCGAAAGCGGCUCUCUGGCCUGCAACUGACGCUGAGGCUCGAAAGCCAGGGGAGCGAACGGGAUUAGAUACCCGGGUAGUCCCUGUCUCUUAUACA
rnacentral:rRNA from 1 species